UACGUAGGCAGCGAGCGUUGUUCGGAAUUACUGGGCGUAAAGAGUGUGUAGGCGGUGCUCCCAGUCUGUUGUGAAAUCUCCCGGCUUAACUGGGAGGGUGCAGCGGAAACUAGAGUGCUAGAGGGUGGGAGAGGUAAGCGGAAUUCCUGGUGUAGCGGUGAAAUGCGUAGAUAUCAGGAGGAACACCUGUGGUGUAGACAGCUUACUGGACACAUAUUGACGCUGAGGUGCGAAAGCGUGGGGAGCAAACAGG
rnacentral:rRNA from 1 species